ACGGGAGGUAGCAGUGGGGAAUAUUGCACAAUGGGCGAAAGCCUGAUGCAGCGACGCCGCGUGAGUGAAGAGGUAUUUCGGUAUGUAAGGCUCUAUCAGCAGGGAAGAAAAUGACGGUACCUGACUAAGAAGCCCCGGCUAACUACGUGCCAGCAGCCGCGGUAAUACGUAGGGGGCAAGCGUUAUCCGGAUUUACUGGGUGUAAAGGGAGCGUAGACGGCUGUGUAAGUCUGAAGUGAAAGCCCCGGGCUCAACUCGGGAACUGCUUUGGAAACUAUAUAGCUAGAGUGCAGGAGAGGUAAGUGGAAUUCCUAGUGUAGCGGUGAAAUGCGUAGAUAUUAGGAGGAAUACCAGUGGCGAAGGCGGCUUACUGGACUGUAACUGACGUUGAGGCUCGAAAGCGUGGGGAGCAAACAGGAUUAGAUACCCUGGUA
rnacentral:rRNA from 1 species